GUGGAUUAGAUACCCUGGUAGUCCUAGCCGUAAACGAUGGGCACUAGGUGUGGGAGGUAUUGACCCCUUCCGCGCCGAAGCUAACGCAUUAAGUGCCCCGCCUGGGGAGUACGGCCGCAAGGCUAAAACUCAAAGGAAUUGACGGGGGCCCGCACAAGCGGUGGAGCAUGUGGUUUAAUUCGACGCAACGCGAAGAACCUUACCAGGGCUUGACAUCCCACGAACCUGCCUGAAAGGGCGGGGUGCCCGCAAGGGAGCGUGGAGACAGGUGGUGCACGGCUGUCGCCAACU
rnacentral:rRNA from 1 species